UCACACGAAAUUUGCAAGGUUACUAAAUUACUGCAUUUGUUACAAGGUUAUUACAUUAGACUCGAAGGCUAAAAGCACAGCAUAUGUUAUCUAGCUUCAUGAGUAGUAGGUUUACUAUGAUUUUCAAGAGGAUAAGAAAGAGUGUGUCUAAUAAGCCUUAGUACCUAAAAAGUACUUACUUACAACCUCCUAUAAUUACUAUUCCUCCAUAUUUUUUGGCAGCCUGAUUGCAGUCGAUAGCGCCUUGCUUGCUCGGACCAACCUGAUUUCUCCCCUUUUCAUUCUGUUGGCGUUCUUGGCGAUUAUUCAGACCCCUUUUUUGGGGCAAGCACUCCUUCACGAUUUCAAAUUCUGCGCCAAUCUUUACAAGAUUUUCUUGAUGUGCCAUGUCAAAUUUUAACUGCUCUCAAAGAUGUGAAACAGCUGGUCUUUUGUGUUGUUUGUGAUGACAAUAUUGCCAAAUGAUGGUCUUUAUAUAGAUUUCCGAUGUAUAACAUCUAGACAGGUCAAGCUUUUUUGGGAUGUUAGAGUAUUUCCAAGACUCUUUAAACAUAAGGUGCU
rnacentral:lncRNA from 1 species